AGUUCUGAGGCGUCUGCUCCAGAGACAAACGCCCAGGCACACCCAGCCCCAGGCCCACCGUGAUGCUGGGCAGCAGCUCUCCAGGAAGUAACACCUGAGGAUGGGAGUGGCUGCUGGGGGCGCCCAGGAGGCCCUGACACGUCUGAGAUUUACGGAAGAGUCACAAAGAUUGUAUAAGAGGGCUCCCUAGACGCUGACAUUGCAGCCACCGAGUGUUCGUCAAAGCUGAGACCUGGACAUGGUACCAGCGACCACCCCACUGAAGACUUCAUGUGGGCCUCACCACUUUUCCAGAUCCGCCUCCCGGGUUCACGCAAUUCCCUUGCCUCCGCCUCCUGAGUACCUGGGACUACAGGCACGCGCCACCACGCCUGGCUAAUUUUUGUAUUUUCAGUAGAGACGGGUUUCACCGUAUUGGCCAGGGUGGUCUCGAACUCCUGACUGCCUGAUCCGCCUGCCUCGGCCUCCUAAAGUGCUGGGAUUACAGGCAUGAGCCACUGCACCCAGCCCAAUGUUAAUUUUUAAGAAUGGAAAAAUGCUUUUUAACUUGAAAUAAAACUACGGGGAAAAUUAUAGAAUUGAAUGAAAAAUUAAACAAUAUCUAAAUAAAGAAAGACACUUGUUAUUUUUCUGGCCAGGGUAACUCCACACGUAAAGACGUCCAUCCUCCCCAAACUCCGAAGAAUUAAGAAGAAAAUUCUGUGAAAUCUGACAAGCUGAGUGUUGCAUACAGACCUGCAAAAGGCCCAUUUGCCAGGACAGACACCUGAAGGAAAAAGAGGAGAGUGAGGUCCACCAGAUACCAAGACAGAAUGAUGAUGGUGCAGUGGGAGGAAGACAGACAACGGGCCCAGAGUGGGGAGCCCAUCCCCAGACCCCCACAGACACAGGACCCCCACGUGGGACCAGAGACAGAGGUGGAGGCUCAGGACCCUGGAGAAAGAAUGCAGUAUCCCCAGAUGGGACAGGAUACUUAAUGGGAAAGAAUAAAACUGGACCCCUGCACAACACACAGACACAUUCUUAUUGAUUGUAGAACUAAACAUGAAUCCCAAAUAAAUGUAGGCAAAGAAAAACACA
rnacentral:lncRNA from 1 species